CCGCCAUUUUGAAACGAACAGACUCCAAAAGCAUGCUCCACUGGGCCUGCCCCUGCGAUCUUAAAACAGAUGUCCGUGAAAUGUGACCCAUGAAUAGCAGUUAUCUGGAGAGAGAGCUCUGAAGCUGAUGAAACCAUUAGAGCCACUGAAGGCACCUGGUAAAUGCGAUGCGGGGAGUACAGAAGAGAGAAUCAGAAACACACCGGCACUCUCAUUCCCAUGAGGCCACUUACAGUGGGUAAAACGUGGCUUGAGAAGAGCGGCAGCUCCAGCCUGAAUGAGAAGCACGUCCUCCUGGGAGUUACAUCAGCAGCCUGGCCUUCCAUCUUCCUCCUCUAAAGAAACGUCCCUGCCACCCUGAGCAUCAAGCCCUCGGGUUCCUAAAGGCCGAGGCGCUUCUUCUCAUUUACUUCCCUUGAGGAAGAAAGACCAGCCCAUCCACCCUCAUUUCCCACCGAAGGGCACCGCAAAUAAAGUUUGCCCACGCAACCAGGCCACCACCAUUAAUUUCUCUCUGCCCUGCUCUUACAUUCUCCUCAAGGUUUUCAAUCCCCUAGACAGGCUCCCUUCCCUCUUUUCUUUCCUUCCUCCAGCCCCCCUUUUCACCUCCCUCCACCAUUGUUUGAGGUUAAGAAGCAUGCUAUGGUGUUCUAUAAAUUACUUGGCAAGAGUAGACGACAAAAGCAAAAUAUAAUUCAGAUUAAAGUCAUCCUCCCGCUGAAAUGAUAGUUUCUUAAAUAAAUGGCGAUGCU
rnacentral:lncRNA from 1 species